ACUUACCUACGGGGGGCAGCAGUGGGGAAUAUUGGACAAUGGGGGGAACCCUGAUCCAGCGACGCCGCGUGAGUGAAGAAGUAUUUCGGUAUGUAAAGCUCUAUCAGCAGGGAAGAAAGAAAUGACGGUACCUGACUAAGAAGCCCCGGCUAACUACGUGCCAGCAGCCGCGGUAAUACGUAGGGGGCAAGCGUUAUCCGGAUUUACUGGGUGUAAAGGGAGCGUAGACGGUUACGCAAGUCUGGAGUGAAAGGCAGGGGCCCAACCCCCGGACUGCUUUGGAAACUGUAUAACUGGAGUGCAGG
rnacentral:rRNA from 1 species